CUUCGCGAUAUUUUACGAUUUGUGAUCAUUUUAUUACAGGUCGGUGUGUGGCUAUUGGAUGUAAAGAAAUAGGUUCACAUAAAUUCCCUUCUAAUCCCACCCUAAGAAGAAAAUGGGAAAAAGCAUUGAGAAGAGUUAAUUUUAAAUCAACUGAUUAUAGUAGGUUGUGUACUCAGCACUUCAAAGUUACAGAUUUUGAAAUAAUUUCUAAGGUAACUGGAUUCCCACUUCAGCGAAUUUUUUUAAAGAAAUCUGCAGUCCCAACACUGUUUUCUUGGAACAGUGCGUCAGGUCAAGACACUUCUGCACGAGCUGAACAUUGGAAUAGAAGAAAUGUUAAGUGUUGCAUCAUACCCAGCACUGUGACAGAAACUAAUGAAUCUGUAGUUGACAACAACACUGCUGUGGCUGUGACUAAGGAUUCAAUUGACCAAGGCUACGCUCAUGAGGUUGAAAUUUCAAGUAUCAGUGAUGAAAAUAGUGAAAGGGUAGGUCAUUCUACAGGAUUGAGUGUUAAUCAAUCAAUGCACACUUCAACUUUUUCCAGAAUAUUUGUUCUUGAAAAUUUUAUGGUAGAUGAGAAGGCAAUCCAUUUCUAUAGUGGUUUAGAAAAUUAUGAUAAUUUUAAAUUAGUGUUAAGUACUUUAUGUCCUAUGGCAUACAGCUUAAAGUAUAAGGGAAGCCAAGUGAUCAAUAUCACAAUUGAAGACCAAUUUUUAUUAAUAUCAAUUAAAUUAAGACGAAACAAAUGUGAUUAUGAACUAUCAAAAUCUUUUGGUAUUAGUAAAACUUUUGUAUCAAAUAUUUUUAUUACCUGACUUAAUUUUACAUAUGACAUAUAGUCACUUAUUGAUAUUUGGCUGGAAAGGAAGUUAGUUGACUAUUACAUGCCUGUGCAGUUUAAGAAAAACUAUGCAAACACAAGAAUAAUAAUAGAUGGAACUGAAAUUCCAAUUACAAAACCUAAAAAUCCAAUAUCACAGUAGGCUACAUUCAGUUCCUACAAAAAUAAAAAUACAAUGAAAUUCCUAGUAGGUGCAACACCCGGGGGGUUGUUUACCUACUUUUCUAUGGGUUAUGGUGGCUCAACUUCAGACAGGCAAUUGAUUGAUAGGAGUAGUUUACUUGAAAAAUGUGAAACCAGAGACAGCAUUAUGGCAGAUCGUGGAUUUAAUGUGCAAGAUUUGCAGCAAAAGGCAUUGGCAUAAAUAUUCCCACCUUUUUAAAAGGAAAAUCUCAAUUAAGUGGUGUAACAGUGAAACGGGAUAGACAAUUAGCUAGGCAAUGAGUUCAUAUUGAACAUUUAAUAGGUCUAAGUAAGACCUUUAACAUAUUAAAAUCAGAAUUAAAUCCUUAUUAUGUACCCCUAGCUUCCCAAAUUUUCUUUGUUUGUAUAAUGUUGUGCAAUUUCAGAGAAGGUAUUGUAAAUAAACAAAGAUUAUGAUU